rnacentral:rRNA from 1 species
GGAAACGGCGUCUAAUACCGGAUACGAGCUGCGAUCGCAUGGUCAGUAGCUGGAAAGAAUUUCGGUCAGGGAUGAGCUCGCGGCCUAUCAGCUUGUUGGUGAGGUAAUGGCUCACCAAGGCGUCGACGGGUAGCCGGCCUGAGAGGGUGACCGGCCACACUGGGACUGAGACACGGCCCAGACUCCUACGGGAGGCAGCAGUGGGGAAUAUUGCACAAUGGGCGAAAGCCUGAUGCAGCAACGCCGCGUGAGGGAUGACGGCCUUCGGGUUGUAAACCUCUUUUAGCAGGGAAGAAGCGAAAGUGACGGUACCUGCAGAAAAAGCGCCGGCUAACUACGUGCCAGCAGCCGCGGUAAUACGUAGGGCGCAAGCGUUAUCCGGAAUUAUUGGGCGUAAAGAGCUCGUAGGCGGUCUGUCGCGUCUGCUGUGAAAACCCGAGGCUCAACCUCGGGCCUGCAGUGGGUACGGGCAGACUAGAGUGCGGUAGGGGA